CCGAGGGGGCGGUGGAUGCCGCACUCCCAAACCCGGCCCAGCAGCGCCCCUUGCUCGCUCGGGCCUGCCCCAGAGCCCGGCCCGGCAGGCGGCAGAGGACUGAGGGGGGCGAAACCCCGGGCCGAGGCGGCUGCUGAGGCGGCCACCGCGGGGAGGAGCGGAAGGGAGGGGCGCACAAACGAGAAGCGGCUGGGCUGGGGGGAAGGCGGGGAGCCGAGCCGAGCCCUGGGGGGCUUCGGCGUCUCUUCCCUGACAGCCGCCGGCGCCUUGCAGCUGGGGCUGCCACCGGGUCAAGCAACUCCGGGAGACGAGGAGGAGCCCAAGGGUGCCCGAAAAAAGAUGAAUUCUGAAAGCUCAGCACUUACCAUGAAUAGUCCUGCAAUAAUAAACCAAUGUGCCAGGGGAGGAAUGGAAGAAGAAAAAGUUUGGCCAAAACAACAGCAACAGAACAAUAUUUCCUUGUUUCCUUCAACUAAGAGCUGGAAUUUCAGAGGGAAGAAACGAAAACAGAGUACUCAGGAUGAAGAUACAAUCAGUAUUUGUAGCCUGGAUACAAGUGAGCCUAGUAACAAGCGGGUCAAGCCCCUUUCCAGAGUUACAUCACUAGCAAGUCUCAUCCCUCCUGUAAGGGCCACUCCAUUGAAGCGGUUCAGCCAGACACUUCAGCGUUCUAUAAGUUUCCGUAGUGACAGUCGCCCAGAUCUGUUCAGUCCACGGCCAUGGUCUCGAAGUAUGCCGCCUGCUAACACAAAGCGGAGAGACAGCAAACUGUGGAGUGAGACCUUUGAUGUUUGUGUCAAUCACAUGCUUACAUCUAAAGAAAUCAAGCGUCAAGAGGCUAUCUUUGAACUCACACAGGGAGAGGAAGACUUGAUAGAAGAUCUGAAGUUAGCCAAAAAGGCUUAUCAUGAUCCAAUGCUUAAGCUUUCUAUAAUGACAGAGCAAGAGCUGAACCAAAUUUUUGGAACACUGGACUCUCUAAUUCCUCUACAUGAAGAUCUUCUUAGGCGGCUUCAAGAAGUCAGGAAAUCCGAUGGAUCAACAGAACACGUUGGCCAUAUCCUUGUGGAUUGGCUCCCAUGCCUAAACUCCUAUGAUAGCUACUGCAGCAAUCAAGUAGCAGCCAAAGCCUUACUGGAUCACAAGAAACAAGAUCACAGAGUGCAAGAUUUCCUGCAGCGCUGCUUAGAGUCUCCUUUUAGUCGCAAGCUGGACCUUUGGCAUUUCCUUGACAUCCCAAGAAGCCGUUUGGUUAAAUACCCAUUACUGCUCAGAGAGAUUUUGAGACACACACCAAAUGAUCAUCCAGAUCAACAGCACCUUGAAGAAGCUAUAAACAUAAUUCAGGGUAUAGUGGCUGACAUUAACAUAAAGACUGGUGAAUCUGAAUGCCAAUACUACAAAGAAAGACUUAUUUAUCUUGAAGAAGGCCAAAGGGAUUCACUGAUUGAUAAUUCACGUGUUCUAUGUUGUCAUGGUGAACUGAAGAACAACAAGGGAGUGAAACUGCACGUCUUCCUCUUCCAAGAAGUCAUGGUGAUUACUCGAGCUAUCACCCAUAAUGAACAGCUCUGCUACCAACUGUAUCGACAGCCAAUUCCAAUAAGGGAUCUUUUGCUAGAAGAAUUGCAAGAUGGAGAAGUGCGACUGGGUGGAUCCAUACGUGGUGCAUUUAGCAACAAUGAGAGAAUCAGAAACUUCUUUAGAGUCAGCUUCAAACAUGGAUCUCAAAGCCAGUCUCAUUCACUGCAAGCCAAUGACUCCUUCAACAAACAGCAGUGGCUUAAUUGUAUUCGGCAGGCCAAAGAAAAAGUCACGUGUGCAGGAAAAGCUGGAGAGCUGAACUCAGAAGCACAUUUUAUUUUGUCACCAAAUGGAAGCAGAGUAUCCCAGGGAGAAACCACGCUUGAGCAAAUGGACCAAUCAGACAGUGAGUCAGACUGUAGUAUGGACACAAGUGAGAUCAGCAUCGACUGUGACCGUAUGGAACAGACAAACUCUUGUGAAAAUGAAAAACAUAUAGAAACCAAUGUUUGACAAAAACUUACAGUUCACGGAACAAAACCUGUGUCUUACCUGUACAGUAUUUGCAUUCCAUACAUGGAACCAUUUGGAGAAGCACUUUUCAAAUAUUUUUUGUGACAAUGUCAAUGCAGCCCUUCUUGUAUAGUACUUGACUAAAUGUAGUACUGUAACUGCUGACUUAUGUAAGCUGGAAUCUUCUGCAACUCACACCCUGUGGUUAUAUUCCAUAAACACGAUGAAUGAAAGAGGUACUUGAUCAGUUAUUCUGAAUGUCCUGCUGUAAACAGAAUCUCUCAACUACAGUUUGUAUGUACAUUACGUAAAGAAUCUUUCAUAAUUUUUAAGUACUCUAUUUGCCCUUUAAGGGGGCAGCUGAAGAUAUGUACUUAAUAUGGGGUUUUAGGAUGGUAUUGAGAUCAUAAGUUUUCACAAAGACAUAGAAGAAGGAAAAAUAUAGCUUCUGGGACAGAAAAGAAAACAGUCUUGCAAUAGCCAUUCUGAGAUCUUGUGGUUUUAAAUCAAUAAGAAAUAAAAAGAGUGAGACGUGACUCUUUAGGGACUGAUUUUUUUAAGUGAAGCACUCUACUAAGAUUCAUCAACUGAACAUAAAAAUCUGAUGUGGUCUGCAGCACUGAAAAGAGCAAUGCAAGGAUGAAGAUGACCUGCGUCCUGGAACACAAAGUUCUGCAGCAAGACAACAGGAGCAGUUAGUUUAAAGUCUUUGAAACUCAGUACCAGGGAACCAAUUGCCAAAGUCUGGGUAAAAGAUGGGCCCAAAGCUGAGCUCCAAGGUAGAGAAAGUGUUUCUCAGAGGCAACUCCUAUUCAGUAUGACCCACCUGAACCAGGGAUGCUGCCUAAAGGAAUGCUCUAAAAUAGUUGGAACCAGAUCUCUUGAGGCUUCACAGAAAUUUUUAGUGUUUGAAAGAUCGAUAUCAGAGCUCUUUGAUGUUAAUUUAAUAGAUUGACCUUAUUUGAAAUUUGGUAUUUUACUGUGAUGCUGUCUGGCACUUAGUAGGCAGUCUUGACUCCCAGGAUCUGUAACAGAGAUGGGAAGAGAGUUUUGUGUAUAUGAAAACUUACUCCAUUUAAAUAUGGGGUUCCAGUUCUUCCAUAUUUAAUAUUACUAAUGAAUACUCAUUUUAAAAUAUUGUAAUCAGUUCUACAGGUUGAUGCUGCCACCUACUGGAAAUAAUUUUUUUAGAGCUGAUUUGAUUAUUUAUAACAUUAAAAUAAUUAAAAUUUAAAACACAUUAAAUGCAUGAAAGGAAAGCCAGUAGAUUUUCAGACUAUCACCUCAGGAUCACAAACUUGUUAGAAAAAAGCACUAGCUGGGUUUCCUGUACCAAUCCCUGACUUUAAGGACACAAGCACAGACUACUCCCCCAGAUUGUCUCCUCCUUUACUAUCAUAGGCAUGUAUUUUUCCCACGACUGGAAAAUGACACUAUGUCUCUUUCCAAAUGUAUAGAUUAGGUUUUAUCUCUAAAUUUUAUGAAGGUGCUUCUCUCUGCAUGGUCUGUGAAUGAAAUGUAAUGAUGCCAUUCUCCUACCUUUGAUCUCCUGGCAACUAAAAUUAGUCAGCAAGAAUACUGUUGCUCAGAAUUAGUACAUAACCUUUUAAAGAAGUUAGACGUGUUUUGCAUCAUGAGAGUCAUUUCUGAAAAGUAAAAUAAUUUCUAUUUAUUUAAAAUUUUUAGGUUAAAUUAGGCAAUAUUUUGCAUUUCUGAAUAUGCUUUCAUAAAAGAAUACAGAGGUCAUUUCUGGAGCAAGCACCAUGAACAUCCAUUAUAAAAAUCCUGUAUUUUAUGGCUAUUAAUCUGAUUUUAGUCUGUGUUACUAAUGUACAACAUACAAUCUAAUUUCAGAAUCAAAGGGAUCUGCAGCUGCUUUGUACUCAGGUGGGAAACCACUUGGUAUGAGCCAGGGAGUCAUGGCUGAACACUUGUCAAAUACCAGAAACCACAGAAACAAGAAAAUAGAAAGACUCUUAAGGUGACAGAAUUUAUAACUUCAGUGGGGUGUUUUCUGUAUGAUUUUCUUUGAGUUGUUUUUGAGUUUUUGAUUGUUUUUGAGUUUUAAUGUCAGUGUUCAACUGAUCUCUUCCUAUGGUAAUUUAUCACCGCAACUUUGUGAAUUGGGAUGCUUACUGCCUAUUUUAUAUCAGAGUUUAAGACUCAUAGUGGUACAGUGAUCUAGAAUUGUUACAUCAUUUGUUAAGCAGUACUUACAGUUUUGUGACAAUUUCUCAGUUAAAUUCCCAGGGUUAUGUUAAUACAUAAAAUAAUUUGUACAUCUGUAAAGAAGUAAGAAGUAUAUUUUUUAAAGCAAGUGGUAAAUAUGGGAACUUUGCAUGUUGUUGAUCAGUAAAUGAGGAAAAUUUCUUCGUACAGUUGGCUUUGCUAUGAUACACCCUUAUAAUGUUUGUAUUUUCUACUUAUUGAACAUGUAUUGAACAUUGAAAACAUAUGCUUUAGUUCAUUUUCUGGUAUCUCUUAUGAGAGAAAGCAAUAGUAAGCAUGCUUUCAGUUACAAGGUAAUUUUAGUUGGCAGUAGUUUCCUACAUUGUUGCUUUUUUGUAGUAGUUCAAUUCAAUAACUUUGACAAGAAUUAGAUCAAUAGUUGAUCCAUACAAAGUAGAUACAUUCCUGAAUUACUGGAAUACAGUAAAAUAUGUGAUUUAGACUCAAUGUUUGUUCAAAAGUCUUUGAAAUCUUACUGUCCAUAUGUUUUUUUUUUUUCACUGUCUUUGGGUAGGUCUUUGUCUGAUGUAAACAGUAUAUCAGUUGAGCUAUGGUAAUUCAAAAAAGCAGGGAAAUAAAUGUCAUAUAUGUAUA